UACGUAGGGUGCGAGCGUUAAUCGGAAUUACUGGGCGUAAAGCGUGCGCAGGCGGUUCGUUAAGUCAGAUGUGAAAGCCCCGGGCUCAACCUGGGAACUGCAUUUGAAACUGGCGGGCUUGAGUGCGGCAGAGGGGGGUGGAAUUCCGCGUGUAGCAGUGAAAUGCGUAGAGAUGCGGAGGAACACCCGUGGCGAAGGCGGCUCUCUGGCCCGAUACUGACGCUGAGGCACGAAAGCGUGGGGAGCAAACAGG
rnacentral:rRNA from 1 species